CUAUAUUAUAGGUAUAAAUCGUUAAAUAAUAUUGAAUUCGAAAUUUAUUUGAUUUGUAUUUUAAAUAAUAUAUUUAUACGCAAUAUUGUUGUAUGUCGGACAUCAUUGACUAAACAAUAUAAUAUUUAAGGGCUGUACAACUUUUAAAAUCACAUGAUAAUCAUAUUAUUAUGUAAUAUUAUGCAUAUUGUACGUAUAUUCAAAUAUUUUCCUUUAUUGAUAAAAUAAACUAUCAUCGCGGUAGGGGAUUCGGCGAUAUAUUCAAUGAAGCACAGUACAUAAUAUGAUGGGGACGCGUAAAAACCUAUAAUCUGAAAAGUAAAAAUCUGGAAUUUAAAAAUUUGAAAUCUGUAAAAAUCUGGACCUGGUAAACAUGGGCAGUAGAAAACUGGACCAUAUAAAUCAGGAAAUCCAAAAUAUUUACGGUUUAAUUUUCUUUUGGUCAGGUUUGUUUGGUUCAGAUUAUUGCACCGAUUUCAUAGGCAUUCUAAAUGAUAAAUUAUUUCUUAUUGUACUGAAAAUAAUCGUAUAUUUUAGUUGGGUAGAACGGUUUACGUUUAUACGUUUUAAUCGAGGCUAUUGCUCAAACCGAAUAGUGAAGUCAGGAAGAUGUACCUGCGUCCUGUAGCUAAGAAUAGAUAUUUAUCAUUACUAAAUAGAUAGGUAUGAUGACGACUUGCUAAAACUCCGCAUGUUCUCUGCCCAGAGAGCAUAGUUCGCCAUCUCUCAAUGGUUCUUGACAAUACUGAAUGUCUGUAAUUGCAUAUCACAAUAUAAUGCAAUAAAGUAAUAAAAUAAUGAAUAUAAUACAAUAAACGUAAUGAAAUGAUGAAUAUAAUAUAUUGUGAACUAUAAGUGGACGUGGCGCAUUUGUUCUCAUCAUAGUUAUCUACUUAGUUAUGAUAUUUAUAAAAUAUUUAAGUAGGCAAUCGUUAUUUUACUGUAACAAUAUUAUUAUAUUAUUGAGAUUAUAUUUGAUUUUUUCGCAAAUUUAAAAUUAAACUCAACAACGAACUACAUUAUAGAUGUUAAAAAUUAACUUUGUUUUAACCAGUACAACCAACAAAUUAUCCGCUUGUAACUAUAACUAUAUAAGCUACUUUACGUAUAUAGACAAUUAAAAAAUGUAAAAGGAGUGCCUUUUCUAUGACAUAAUUAUUAAUUUAGAAUAAAAUAAACGAAAAUAACUUAAUAAUAUUUUAAAUCGUAAUAAUCAAUAUUUGUAUAAAAAUAUAGAAUAUAAAUUUAAUACUUUAAUAUUAAUUAUUUUAAUAAUAAAUAUUUCUUAGCAAUAUUUCUGUAUUAAUGCGAGUUUCUUUUUAGAGAUCUUUAUGUAUAAUAUGAAUAAUAAUUGAAAACUUCAACAUUUCUAUUGAACCAAC